UCCGAUCGAGGUGAUUCAGGUGGCGUUGGAAAGCUUGUUCCGAGAGCUUUCUUUUGAUACCAAUUUUGCAGCAAAUGGAGGUCGGAUGAGUGAGAUAUGGAGGAGAGAAGUUUCUGAUUUUUCAAGCUUUUUCGUCAGAUCUAGGACGAUCCGACCGUUGGAUCGACGAUCCGAGACCACAUAUGGACUGAGGAAGAGGGGAGGAACAUGAUGGUAUGAUCAGAUUCCGCAAAUGUCGCCGGCGACCGGCGGCCGGCUACCGUUCGCGGUGGUUCCGGCGGUGGCUCCGGUGGGCUAUGGAGAUGAUUCAACUUCCAGAGGCUUCCUCAUAAAUUUUUGGAAUUUUUGAGACACAUAUAAACUUCGGGUGAUCGAGAUCAGCUAUUUUUCUGCAUCCAGCAGCCACAAUAGUCAUCGGUGUACUGCCACAGGAGGAGUUAUUUUACAGAGCAACCUGUUUUCUUUCUCGCAGGUUUAACGUCGAUUAUUUAAUUGUUUUACUAUCUUUUCUAAAUUUAAAAUCUAGAACUCCGCAUGUGCUAGUAAUAGUGUGGACCUUGUUAGAAAUUGUGUUAAUUUAAAUUUUUAAGAUUAAUAAAUGAAGAUUUGUAUGGUAUUUAAACAGUUUGUAAAUGAGGUAAUAGGGUUGAGCUGGGCUCCCCUGAUUUUAGUUUCUGAAAAUUUCUGGGCUAAGUUGGCCCGAAAUGAAAUUAUAACAGUUUGAUUUAAAUUAUCUUAUAUGCAUAUUGGGCCUAAAUUGUGGGCCUGGUUAUGGAUUUGAGGAAUAGUUAGGCUUACUACGGGCCUCGGGGGCUUUAAGCUGGCCCAGGUCCUAGUGCCGGUCCGGCCCAUAGGUUGG